UACGUAGGGAGCAAGCGUUGUCCGGAAUUACUGGGCGUAAAGGGCGCGUAGGCGGGAAUUUAAGUCAGAUGUGAAAACUCUGGGCUCAACCUGGAGACUGCAUUUGAAACUGGAUUUCUUGAGGGCAGGAGAGGAAAGUGGAAUUCCUAGUGUAGCGGUGAAAUGCGUAGAUAUUAGGAGGAACACCAGUGGCGAAGGCGACUUUCUGGACUGUACCUGACGCUGAGGCGCGAAAGCGUGGGGAGCAAACGGGAUUAGAUACCCCGGUAGUCCACGCUGUAAACGAUGGAUACUAGGUGUAGGAGGUAUCGACCCCUUCUGUGCCGCAGUUAACACAAUAAGUAUCCCGCCUGGGGAGUACGGCCGCAAGGUUGAA
rnacentral:rRNA from 1 species